GCGGCGUGACGUGGGUGGCGGGCGUGACGGGCGGAGGGCUGUGGCUCUCGCCGCUGUGCCCUGUUCUGUCCUCUUUGUGGGAGUGCGGGGGUGUUACUGCUGUCGGUCACUGUGGGGCAGGUCGCGGGGAGCGCUGCGUCCACGGUGCCGGGCCUCAGGCCUUCAGGUCCCCCAGCGCCAUUCGGCCUCACGAUCCCAUGUCUGACGAUGUGGUCAUUUUCUCAAAAUGUCACGCAAGUAAUUUAGGCGAUUUAUUCCCCAUCAGAUGCAAGCUGAUCUCGUCCCUACUAAGGACAGAGUGACUUCGUCUCUCUGCUGUGGCCCAGAUUUCUCAGGGAAAGAUAAAAUGUAUAAGAAGAAGAAGAAGCAGCGGGACUCAGGGGACAGCCUCCCUUCCUCAAAACCAUCUAAGAACCCACGGCUGAAAGACCCCCAGGAAAGCCCCCAGAGCUCCAUGCUGAUACAGUCACACCAUUCCAGAGAGUCGGAAGACAGCCCAGAACCUGCUGCCUCUGUAGAGCCAACUGAGGAGGAAUCACAACCUGCAGCUUCCAGCUGCCUUGUGGAGGACACAAGAGCUGCCUCUGACCUCCUGGAGUCACCGGAAGAGCUGGUCCCCCUGCCUCCUUCUCAGAACUCAGGUGGGAGGUUUGUCCCCCAGUUUGCCAAACCAAAGAAGACAACAAGAAGAAAAGCCAAGGCGUGGAAAGAGGUUCCAGAAAGCUGCACAGGAAGCCCGGAAACACGGCCAGAGCUGGGUACCCUCCAGGCAGGAAGCCAGCCAAAGGAGGAGUCCCCGAGGUUCCCUCUCCACGAUGCCCAGAGGCCAGAAGACCAGACAUGGGCAGAUGGUGCCUGCCCAGAGGAGAGGACCAUCUCACCAGAUGCUGGAAGCCUAGGGAACAAUGACUUUGAGAUGCAGAGGGCCAGGGUUCAAGACAGUACUAGCCAGGAAAGGCACCUGUCAGAUGGUGAUGCCAAAGGGAGAGAGGCAGAUGGCAGAGCCCCACAGGAAGGAGGUGCCCAAGGAGGGGAACCCCAGGAAGAAGGCAUCCUCUACAUUUCAGCACCAGCUCCUGCCUCAUACCCCAUUGUACCUGUCCCCACACACAUACUCAGCAGCACAGAUGCAGCACCAAGCUGCAGCAGCCCAGCAGAUGCCUCUCUUACGGACAAUGUCAUCACAGCUGUGAGCUUAGAUCCCUCUGUGCUGCAACAGAGGGCUCCAGAGGUGGCUGGGCUGCCAGGCUCUCCAGAUGGACAGACCCCUGGUGGAGACUGCACUGGGACUCUGCUGGGCUACACACCUCUUGCUGAGGAGACCACAGCAGGCAGAGAGGAGGUCAGGCUGGAAGAGGGGUCCCCUGGUGACAUCCUGGCAAGCCUCAGUGAGACUGCAGUUCCCGAGAAAGAAGAGCCCAUGGUGGAUGCUGGAGAUCCAGGCCAUAUGGAACAGGAAAUGGGUCCUGCUGUCAAGACCAAGGACCCUGACUCUGAUGGACAGUUGCCAGGAGGGAUGGGAAUGCUGCCUUUACAGGCCCAGCCCUUGAACCAAAAGGUAGUGGAGUCAAGCAGCCUAAACUGUCACCAAGACUUUGAGGGCCUCAGCUUGUCCCCUCAUACCUCCUCUCAGCUAGAGCAUAGCUAUGCAGCUAGUGACCCUCCCCAGAGGAAGGCCUGUCAUAGCAGUCCAGGAAUUCCCAUAGACCUGGCAGGACAGCAGCCAUCAGUUCCCAGUUCUAGAGAUCAGGCUGCAUGGCAGGAGUCCUCAGCAAUGGAACUAGACUUCCUGCCCGACAGCCAGAUACAAGAUGCCCUGGAUGCCCCCAAUGUGGAGGCCCUGCCUGAGCAGGGUUCUCCUGCAGGGAAUGUGCCAGGCCUUGGCUGGCCUGUCUCUAGCCCAGAUGCCAUCGGAGGAUCCCCAAAGGUAGUGACCAAAGCUCAUCCCAGACCGGCUACGGGGACCUGGGUCCAAAAUGCCUGCAGGAUGCAAGAUGCCACAGACACAGUACGUGGCCUCGUGGUGGAGCUCUCCAGUCUCAACCGGCUGAUUAUGAGUACCCACCGGGAACUGGAGGCCUUCAAGCGCAGGAAAGCCAAGCCUCUGCCUUACCUGACAAAGGGGAGCCUUGCUAGAGGGGAUCAGAGCUGGAGGGACCUGUAGGCUGUUCCAGCCUGGACCCCCCAAGCUCUCUAGGCCUUUGGGGGGGUCAGUCUACCUAAGCUCCGUAUGCAAGAGGCUGAGACUACUUGAGCUUCAGGACGUCCUCUGACAGCAGGCCCCACCACAGGUGCUCAUCCAGCUUCCAGAGCCUCCUGAGCUGAGAUGCGGUUGCUUUUCCGUUUGUCUCGGGACGCGAGAGGUGCUCUGUUCUUUUCCCCGUUUGUCUCGGGACGCGAGAGGUGCUCUGUUCUUUUCCCUGUUUUGUCCAUGUUACUUUUGGGAAAGUGGUGAAUAAACGGUGCAGUCAUAGCCCGUGAGUCCCAGCUGUGUGGUGGAGACGUUCCCAGCUCGUAUGUUCUGCCCAUGGACCACUCUACUGUCUCCUCCACCUGCAGAAGGCUAGGUGUAGGGCUAGCCAGAACACAGGUCAGGGGCUCCCCACAGCUCAGUGUCCCAGGUUUCCAGGAGAAUGGCUGUGUACACACUGGUCACAUCCAGACACAGGUGGAGGGCACAAAGACAAGGUCCCAGGCAGGGUGAGACCCCAGCCUACUGCUUAGGAACGAGCUCUGAUCAUCUCCCUUCCCUCACCCUGCCUCUGCACAUGACAGUGUCUGGCUGCGUUGGGGGCAGUCAUCCUCUUUGCUGAAGUAUAUGCCUAGGAGGCUCAGGCUCCCCACUGAGCCUCUUCCUAGGGAACCCUAUGAAACAGGCAGGGUAUGACCCCACAUAGUCCCUCCCGGCUCUGGGCUCAGACUCUGGAUGCUGAGUUAUGCAAGGAGCUGCUGCUGUCCCAAUGCCAUUCACAGACCUGAGGCUACUAAGAAGCCCUUCUCCGGUCACCUUCCUCUUCCCUGGCUCCCAGCCCACCCCAGACCAGGAACAAGGAGGGUCCCAGGAAAUCUAAUUCCUGUUCUGACCUCAGCCCCAGAAGAACAGGGACCGAGAGUGAAGCCUCAGGCCAGUUAGAUGAAUGCAGGCAGAGCAUCUCGCAGUCAAGCCCAUCCCUGCACUUGUACCAGCCUGUUUCCCUGGAGCCCUGUGUGCCUUCAGUGCAAGAGGCCCCUAUUUUGCAUAUCAGUAUGCAGUGGGUACCUGGGAGUUUACACACCUCACAGCUGCCCUAAUGGUGUCGCUCCUGAUUCAGCUCCCCAAGGUGACCCCAAGAUUUAAGGAGCAGUUUGUUAGGUGAUAGGGAGUGAGGAUGUGGUCCGUAGACUGGGGUCCCUGCCAACCAU